rnacentral:rRNA from 1 species
AUGGCCAUCAUGAGGGAACUCACCGAUGCCUCCAAUCCAUCCAUGGUUUAUUGGCAAAGCAUAGACCACCCCACAGACACCUGGCUUCCGGGGGCCAAGCUUGGACUGAACAAGAUCACUGGUGUGAGCAAGAGGCUUGUUUCUUGGAAGAACAGCUCAGACCCAUCUCCUGGGCUGUUCUCUGUGGGGUUAGACCCAAAAGGCACAAACCAGUUUUUAAUCCAGUGGAACGAAUCCGUAAACUACUGGACCAGUGGCGUCUGGAACGGCAAGUACUUCAGCGCUAUGCUAGAGGCUACCAAGAACAUAUACGACUUCCAAUUCAUCAACAACGCCAUAGAAACCUACCUCUUGUACUCGAUGAAGAAUGAUUCAGUAGUCUCGCGGUUCAUCAUUGACGUGACCGGACAGAUCAAGCAGCUAAAAUGGGAGGAUUCCAGACAACAGUGGGUCAUAUUCGGGAUCCUACCACGGUCAGCGUGCGACGUGUAUGCGCUUUGUGGGGCAUACGGCAGCUGCACCAACCCCCUCAAUGCCAGUGACAGAUAUUACAACUCCUCCUCAGGCUUGCAGCAUCCGAGCUGCCAGAUCAACAAAGCAGGAAAACAAGGAUCAAUGGUUCAGUUGUUGGUGGAGUUGCUGCAGUUUUGA